UGGGGAAUUUUGCACAAUGGGGGAAACCCUGAUGCAGCGACGCCGCGUGAUUUAGAAGGCCUUCGGGUUGUAAAAAUCUUUUCUAUGGGAAGAAAAUGACAGUACCAUAGGAAUAAGGACCGGCUAAUUACGUGCCAGCAGCCGCGGUAAUACGUAAGGGCCGAGCGUUGUCCGGAAUCAUUGGGCGUAAAGGGUACGUAGGCGGGUAAGCAAGUUAGAAGUGAAAUCCUAUAGGUCAACUAUAGUAAGCUUUUAAAACUGCUCAUCUUGAGGUAUGGAAGGGAAAGUGGAAUUCCUAGUGUAGCGGUGAAAUGCGCAGAUAUUAGGAGGAAUACCGGUGGCGAAGGCGACUUUCUGGCCAUAACCUGACGCUGAGGUACGAAAGCGUGGGUAGCAAACAGG
rnacentral:rRNA from 1 species